AGUGAACGCUGGCGGCAGGCCUAACACAUGCAAGUCGAACGGCAGCACAGUAAGAGCUUGCUCUUACGGGUGGCGAGUGGCGGAAGGGUGAGGAAUACAUCGGAAUCCACUUAUACGUGGGGGAUAACGUAGGGAAACUUACGCUAACACAGCAUACGACGGACGGGGGAAAGCAGGGGAUCUUCGGGCUUUUCGCGAGGGAAUGAGCCGAUGUCGGCUUAGCUAGUUGGCGGGGUAAAGGCCCACCAAGGCGACGCUCCGUAGCUGCUCUGAGAGCAUGGUCCGCCACACUGGAACUGAGACACGGUCCAGACUCCUACGGUAGGCCGCAGUGGGGAAUAUUGCGCAAAGGGCGCAAGCCUGAUCCAGCCCUACCGCGUGAGUGAAGAAGGCCUUCGGGUUCUAAAGCCCUUUUGUUGGGAAAGAAGAACAGCAGGUUUAUACCCCGCUGUUCUGACGGUACCUAAAGAAUAAGCACCGGCUAACUUCGUG
rnacentral:rRNA from 1 species